ACAAUGAUGGCUGCAAAAGUCUUAAAAUCCCAACAGCUCACUUGUGCCGGGUCCUGCAAACUGGUUUGUUAAUGUGAUGUCUGACUAACUCUCAUUCAAAGAAGCAGGGGUGCUUUGCAUACAAUAUCUGCUUCUGAAUGUCUCUUGGAGGAAGUUCUGUGUGUGUGAUGUUUGCAAAGGCAGCUCAUCAUCCUCCCACCACCCCCACCACAGACAGGCUGUACAACUGCUCUGCAUGCUUUUUCACAAAUCUGCAGAGAGCCAGCAAGAAUACUAAACUCUGCUUGGCUGAGCCUUUGUUGAGCAGCCACAAUGCAUGGUCUGUUCCUCCCAGACUCAUUUGGAUCCUGAAAAGCACAUUCUUGAAGGAACUCAACUUUCUUCAUAGUGUCGAAAGGAUGCUUUAUUCUGGUGAAAGCUGCCGGAUUGACCAAGUGACAUGGACUUGAUCUAGCUCUCCCCAGAAUAAGAAGUGAAUAGGCAGUAGCCAAGCAAAGCCUAAUUCUGAACUCUUACUAGUUUGACACUGUUGUGACUCAACUGAAGUCAAUGGUCAGAGGAUAAUUGGGCCUAUGCUGGGGAGAGCACUUGAGUUCAGAUGCUGGUUUGUAGUUUUUGCUUUUGAUUUUUGGCCUAAGUGAGUUAAAGGGACACAAGUUAAUAAUUUGAAAUGACCUUGUCUCAGUUACUAAUAAAAUUAGGAAAAACACAUUUUAAUUCACUUCUUGCUGUCUUUUCUCAACACUGAAAAUAGACUAGUCAGUAUUUUAAGUUUCUGGCCAGUUUUAAAGGUGUGUGCUACAGCGCUACCACAAUCUUUGAGCUUUUGUUUAAUCAAAACCAAAGAUCCCCUUCCCCAUUGUUAAGAUACUUAAGUACUGCCGAGUGUCGCAUCCAGCACAGAGCACUUUGGAUCUGGCUCUUGCCCUGAGCAGUUUUGGGUUUUUUAUGAAGCCUAAAUUUUGGGCCCAACUUGAUAUGAGCAUUGCUUUUUGCCACAGUAAGAGCUAACGUCAUGAAGCCAAGCUUAACAUACUGCUCCCUGACCAUAUAUUAGCAGGCCUUCAGUCCUACUAUUCCCUGGUAUGUUGCAGUGCUGUCCUUGGGAUCUGUUCCAGGGACAUCGGGGAGUGGUUUCAUGUUCAAUGUGCAAAUCUUUCAAACUUUGCAAAACUUCUGGUGCGUCUCUACACAGUGGGUGGGUGGGUGAGGAGGGAGCGUCCCAGCCUCCAGAUGCAGUGCUGCAGAUGUGAAAAGGAAGAGUCAGUCCUUACGGAUUCGCACAGGGCCUUGGCUCAGUAGUUGUUCAGUUGCAGAGGUUCCUUAUGGGGACUGUACAGCUCUCUGUGCCUGCUAGAAGUACCUGCAUGGGCCCUGUGUGUGAUGGAGGGCAUAGGCCAGUUGGAAUACCGCUGGGAUUUCUGAGUGCCUUGGCUCCAGGUAGGAAGCCAGGCUGCUGACACAGCCAUUGGACCCUCUUCAAACAUUUUCUAGGUUCUGCUCAACUAGAGGUGAAACAGUCAAGCCACAUAUGAGUAGACAGGAAUAACAUGUUGACCUUGCUGUCUGUUAAUAGCGAAACCAGAUCUGUUAAUGUUCAAUGGGUGCUCAUUCAGUUUAUUUAAUUACAUUUCAGUGUCUAUAGAGCAUGCACUACUGUAUCUGAUCACUGUUUACUUUGGAUUAGGGUUUCUUGUAAUGAAGCAUUUUAAACUGUGGGUGCGCACAGCAAUCUGACUUCUCAAACAUUGGAAGAGUAAUUAAAAUAACAAAUGAAUAAAAAUCCCUCCCCUGCACAUGAAAUGUUUAUGCUGGAGGGGCUUUGGAGCUGUGGCUACUCCCUGGUUGUGCAUUCAGCACACAGCUAGUCUGUGCUAAACAUCAGAUUGUUUUUGUUACCAAUCUGUGCUCUCCCACCCGAUUGUUUUCUCCUCCAUAUUACACCUAAUCUGUAAGCCCUUUGGGGGCAGGGAUGGUUCCUACAUUUCAGAUUUCCUGGCAUAGUAGGGCCCCGAUCUGGCUGACUCCCUUAAGUGUCACCACAAGAUAAAUGAUUGAUCAAAUUUUGGAUGGUUGAAAACAGGAUAGACCCACAUAACCCAGUUUGGAAAACUGCAGUCUGAUCUUUAGGACAGAAAUAUCCCCAAGAGCGGACGGCAUCACAUGCAGCACAAAUAAACACAAGCUCUCUUGUUUCCAAGUAGCUGUGGGAAAGUUUCUUUACAAUUGCUCUGCAUCCCCACUCCCCUGCCCCUCGCUUCUUUUCAUGGGUAGCUAUAAUGAAAGUUCAUGUUACUAUUUUCUUUGGGUAUAAAGUGGGGGGGGGGGAAUUUUUCUUGUCCUGCCCUCCAAGCCAGAGGAGUAGAGUAUGUACAAGUUUAAAAAGUUUCUCCUGGGACACACAUGAGCACAUUUCACACUGCUGCAGAGGAAGAUAGUACUCUGAGCUAGUGCGACUAGCUAGUGCAGGGGAUAGUCAUGCUGAUGUUUCAGAAGCUCUGCUGGUCUGGCGGAGGUGGUCACAGCUAGCAUUAUAGACUGAUUCAGAUGUCAGUUGGUCGAAGGCUUUAAAGAGCAACUGAUGACUCUUGGAAAACUUGGGGAAAAAACACUUAGUUUGAGGACCAUCCUGCUUUUUCCUUUCCUAGAUUGGUAACAUGCAUGCAGACAAGAUCUCCAUGUGACUGUGGCUUUUGAUGUGUAGAACUCCAGUGGAAAAUAAGGAGCAGGAUCUUACAAAACUGAUCAUGGUAUCACACUAGGGUCUCUGGGGCACAGUGGUGGGAAGGCUUGACUCAAAAGUUCAAGUUUCCAUCGGGCUUCUGUGGCUGAAGCAAAGUGAAACUUUAAAACAACGAAAAAACCCAAACCCAAUGACUAAAUUUAAACUCCAGCGUCAUUUAAGCACUGUUCUUCUUUCUGUUCUGACUCACUAAAGCAUUUUACAAAAUCCCUUCAAAUCUCCCUGUUUCUGCCCCCAUGUGCACUUGAUAUUUUGGUACCAACAACAUCUAAAAGCUCUUACUAGAGAAUCUUAUCCAACAUACAGGCUUUUGAAAAUAUCCGUUCUGUACAUCGUGACCCCCUCCUGAAGGGAGAAUGACCAGCUUGUUGCACGCAGCGUAUUCAUGGGUGUUCAUGUGUUGGGAGAAGUGUGGUGGGUUGUUAGAGCCACCCCCAGAAUAGCUAGAGUUUGCAUUAGGGUUCAGAGAAUAAUAAAAAUAACUAGCUCCUAUAUAGGGCUUUGCAUCAUUAGCUUUCAGUGCUUUCUAAAGGAGGUCAGUAUGGUACCAUCACUGUCUUAUAGAUGGGGAACCUGAGGUAAAGGAAGGGGAAGUGACUCAUCCAAGGUCACCCAGCUGGCCAGAGGCAGGAAUAGAUCCUAGGAGUUCUGAAUUCCAGCCUAGUGCCUUAUCCACUAGGCCAUACUGACUCAAAAGGGAUGCGUGGGACCAGAUCUUGUGUCUCAAAGCUAUUGGGACAAAUUAAUCUGUGGUAUAACACCACUGAAUUCCCUGGAGUUACACCAGGGCCUAAUCUGUCCCCUUGUGUCUCUCUAAACUUGGGGAGGCAAACUGCAUCAGUUCAUAUUUGUGAGGCUCUCUGCAACCCUACGGACUU